ensembl:lncRNA
CAAGAGGUCGUUUUAUAAACAAUUACUGAGGUUAGGGCUCUUUAUAUUGUCUUGGUUUCAUCCUAAAAUGUUUCUAUACUUAGGGUCGCCAAGGAAGCCAGAGUGGAGGCUGUCGGAAGGGUGGGUUUGAAUGAACUUUGGCUGCUCCAUCAAGCAGGCUGAUUACUGAGGAAACAUCAAAAGCUUCACCCGAGUGACUCAUCACCCAGAUCCAACAGAGGCUAUGAGAGUUGUGAGCACCCAUGGAUAUGCUUAGGAUUGAAGAAGCUUCCAAAAGUAGCAAUAUCACAAAAGGAUUUCUGGUAAGAGAAUAACAAUAAUAAUAAUUCAUGUAAAGUUUACUCUGUUUCACUUUGGGGGGUUACUGCAACUCUGUAAUAACUUCAUU